rnacentral:sRNA from 1 species
CUUUUAAAUAUAUAUAUUUUUUUAAUUGUAUGAGUUUCUACUAAAAAAUUACUAUUGAAGUUGGUCUAAGUUGCGAGACCAAAUUUUUAUAUGCUUUCGGUUCGAAUUGACAUUUCUCUGUGUAAACGAAGCAUCAAU